GUGCGCUCAGUUGGUAGAGCAGUUGACUUUUAAUCAAUUGGUCGCAGGUUCGAAUCCUGCACGACCCACCA
rnacentral:tRNA from 1 species